CAUUGCUGGAACGCGCCCCAGGCGCACCCAGAAACCCUUUGUGAACUUAUACCUUUUGUUGCCUCGGCGCAUGCUGGUCUCUAGUAGGCCCCUCACCCCGGUGAGGAGACGGCACGCCGGCGGCCAAGUUAACUCUUGUUUUUACACUGAAACUCUGAGAAAAAACACAAAUGAAUCAAAACUUUCAACAACGGAUCUCUUGGUUCUGGCAUCGAUGAAGAACGCAGCGAAAUGCGAUAAGUAAUGUGAAUUGCAGAAUUCAGUGAAUCAUCGAAUCUUUGAACGCACAUUGCGCCCUCUGGUAUUCCGGAGGGCAUGCCUGUUCGAGCGUCAUUUCAACCCUCAAGCAUUGCUUGGUGUUGGGGCACUGCUUUUAACGAAGCAGGCCCUGAAAUCUAGUGGCGAGCUCGCCAGGACCCCGAGCGCAGUAGUUAAACCCUCGCUCUGGAAGGCCCUGGCGGUGCCCUGCCGUUAAACCCCCAACUUCUGAAAAUUGAC
rnacentral:rRNA from 1 species